rnacentral:rRNA from 1 species
GACGAACGCUGGCGGCAGGCUUAACACAUGCAAGUCGAACGCACCUUUCGGGGUGAGUGGCCGACGGGUGAGUAACGCGUGGGAAUCUACCCUUCUCUACGGGAUAGCUCCGGGAAACUGGAAUUAAUACCGUAUACGUCCUGAGGGAGAAAGAUUUAUCGGGGAAGGAUGAGCCGGCGUUGGAUUAGCUAGUUGGUGGGGUAAAGGCCUACCAGAGCGACGAUCCAUAGCUGGUCUAAGAGGAGGAGCAGCCACAUUGGGGCUGGGCAACGGCCCAAACUCCUAGGCAAGGCGGGAGAGGGGAAUAUAGCACAGUGGCGGCAAGCAUGAUCCUGCCCUGCCGGGUGAGUGAUGAAGGCCCUAGGGAUGUAAAGCUCGUUCAGAGGGGACGAUAAUGACGGUACCCACAGAAGAAGCACCGGCUAACUUCGUG